UACAGAGGGGGCAAGCGUUAUUCGGAAUUAUUGGGCGUAAAGGGCGCGUAGGCGGCUUCGCAAGUGACGGGUGAAAUCCCUCGGCUUAACCGAGGAACUGCCUGUCAGACUGCAUGGCUUGAGACCAGGAGAGGUGAGUGGAAUUCCCAGUGUAGCGGUGAAAUGCGUAGAUAUCUGGAGGAACACCGGUGGCGAAGGCGGCAUCCUGGACCGGCAUUGACGCUGAGGCGCGAAAGCUAGGGGAGCAAACGGG
rnacentral:rRNA from 1 species